GGAGCAGCAGAGCAACAGGCACAAAAUAUCAAGGACACAGUGAAAACUGAUUAAACAAGAUUAAAGUGGGCCUUGACGUCCGAGGAAAGUAGUGAGAGUAUUCAAUUUCAAAAGAAACGCGACCAAACAACGGAACACAACUGAAGUCUUGUAAGUUUUGCCAGCAAACUGGAAACAGGAGACCUUAGAGAGCCCACAGGGACAAGGGGCUCUGUCUUUGGGAGCACAAUUCCUGCUCCAACGGACUCCUUCUGUGGUCCACUCUCUAUCCCCUCCUCUCUGUUACUAACCAGAUCCAGCAGAAAUUGAAAGCAAUUCCCAGUUGAGAUGUCAAGUUCCUGCCGUUACUGAAGCUUUUUCUCUCUAGUAUAAAACUUUUCAGAUACAUGGUAUCGUAUCUAUCACGGUAAGCGUCACUUUCACCUUUCAACAACUGGCCAUGAGAAGCUUCUUUUAGGAUUUGACCUAAGUAUGGUGUUGACGAAUGGUUAUUUGAGCUAAAAAUCAAGAUUUUUGACUUGAAAUUUCAGAUUUAUUAUUAAAUUGUUAGGGAGAAAAGAAACGACGUCAAUAGCGACAGAAAACUCCAAAUCUAGAUUAUCUGUAGUGGGAUUCUGAUUAAUAGCUUUGGGUUGAUUUGGGGAGCUAGAAUUUGGUAUGGCUGUUGCCAAGAGCAACAGCAGCCGUGACUUGUUGAAGCAACCAUGCAAUUGUUACAGAGUUUCAAGCUUAAUCCAAACCAUUUUGGAUACAAAUCAGAGUUCAAAUUUGAAGGAUAGGUAUGCUCUUGGAGAGCAGCUGGGUUGGGGACAAUUUGGUGUUAUUAGAGUGUGUACUGAUAAGAUGACUGGAGAGCGAUUGGCGUGCAAAUCAAUUGCCAAGGAUAGAUUAGUGACCUCAGAUGAUGCUAGAAGUGUCAGACUUGAGAUUGAGAUAAUGACUAGGCUAUCUGGGCACCCAAAUGUUGUAGAUCUCAAGGCAGUUUAUGAGGAUGAGGAUUAUGUUCAUUUGGUAAUGGAGCUUUGUGCUGGAGGGGAGCUUUUUCACCAGUUAGAAAAGCAUGGACGAUUCUCUGAGAUGGAGGCUAAGGUUCUCUUCAGGCAUUUGAUGCAAGUGGUGUUGUAUUGUCAUGAAAUAGGGGUUGUUCACAGGGAUUUGAAGCCGGAGAAUAUCCUCUUGGCUACAAAAGCCUCUUCUUCACCCAUUAAGCUGGCAGAUUUUGGUCUUGCAACGUACAUAAACCCUGGUCAGAAUUUGCAUGGAACUGUUGGGAGUCCUUUUUAUAUAGCCCCUGAGGUAUUGACAGGGGGCUAUAAUCAGGCUGCUGACGUUUGGAGUGCAGGGGUGAUUCUUUACAUUCUUCUUAGUGGGAUGCCUCCAUUCUGGGGAAAGACUAAAUCAAGGAUCUUUGACGCAGUUAGGGCUGCAGGUCUCCAGUUCCCUCCUGAUCAAUGGGAUCAAAUAUCAACAUCUGCAAAGGACUUGAUCACUGGAAUGCUUUGUGUGGAUCCUUCGAAGAGACUCAGUGCUGCUCAAGUUUUAGGUAUGCUGAAGGCUGCAUGUUUGUGUGCACUAGAUAAGGAUUUAUAGCUUACGAAACUCUGCAUAAUCUGUUGCAAAGCUAAAUUCAUGAUUCCUUAAUGUGAUUAGAUUCAUGUAAAUGAUGAGAAAAUAAAGCAUUUUGUUUCAACCUUUGGUUCCAGUAUUUUUCCUCCUUUUGGCAUAGCCUGCCUGAAGUUACUUGGUUGAAAAUCAAAUUACAAGGCUUGGAAGUUCCUCUUAAAAUAAUUAGGGGUACUGUCUUUUUACAGCUGACUCCUGGAUGUAGGAUAGUGCAGAGCCAACUCAAGAAUCUUACAAGCAUGACAACAUAGACUUUGAACUGGUAGAAAUGGGUAGAGGUUCUUUCCCUAUCCUGUUUAUCUCCAGGGUUCAGGACUAUAGUUUCAGCUAUGAAUCAUCUGUAAUUGGUGAAGGUCAAGAGGAGCAAUCUCCUGCAUUCACAUCAUUUUCUUCAUUGGUAGUUGACAGCAAUACUCCUUGCUCUGCAACAGGAGGCUUCUCUUUUCGCAAAUGUGAUGAAUCCGGUGCAACUGAUUUCCCAUCGCCAAUCCAAUCAAUGCUAAGCUUUACCUUCUUCUCUCCAAAUUCUGCAAUUGAGAAAAGGGAGGUUGCCUUUGGAUUUAAUUCCAUCGAGUCAAAUAUGGGUUCAGUUCAUGGAGAGACGUCUGUUAGUUUGUUCUAUUUCUUGUUUGUUCGAUGGUAUAUAGUAGCUAUUGGAGUAAUGCACGGCAAGACAUAAGUGCGGCUGCAAUACGGUUGCUUGGAUUCAACUUUUCUAUCUCUAACAUGAGCUCCUCUUGGCAGAUGCAGAGUCCACCUUAGAAAAGCCAUUUGUAUUGCCAUGUACAUCUGUAAAGCGUGAAGUAGGAGAAAUAAUGCAACGGUUGGAAUUUCUACGGGAAAGGAUGAAUGGGUCUUGGGUUUCCAGCAUCCACAGCAGAAGGAAUCACACCAUUGGACUUGGCGAGCUUGAUCAACUUAAUAUCAUAGUCACUGAGUCAAUCAUCCGCUGGGCAUCAGGUACACAAAUCCCAAGUGCUCCAUCACUUGGACUAUCACUUGUUAGCUAGAACGGAUGUGCGAUUUUAGUUACAAGGCUCAAAAUAGAGAGAUUAUCCGUACAACUUUAACAAGAUUUGUCAAUCUAUUUAGCUGAACUCUGAUGAUAAUACCUGUUUAGCUUAAUUUAUGCUGUGUCAUCUGUCAAAUGUAACUAAGUAAAUAUUCAAUAUCUAAAGUAUUGUUAAGAAGAAAAACCAUUCUAGUUUAUUUAUUUU
rnacentral:misc_RNA from 1 species